AACGACUCAGAUGGGUUUUCUGCUUUGAAAGGCAAAUCCAAUAUCAACCAUCUGCUGAAUCUGCCGACCCGUAUACUAAUCCGGGCCAUUUACUAAGCCACCAAUCACCAUCUAUAGUAUUUAUUUCGUCACGCACAAUUCAUAAAACAUCAUUUCUAGGGUUUGGUGAAGCUAGCAAAACAAAAUGUACGGUGUAUCUCCAUCUCAAUCCAGGCUUUUAAAGCUUAUCCAACGCAACGAUGUUCAAUCCGCCGCUAUCUGGGGCACUGCUGCUCUCGCCGGUGGUAUUUAUGUCGUUCAGCCAUUCGAUUGGAUCAGGAAGACACUUUUUGAGAAAGCAGAGCAAGAAGGGAAUUGAAGAUGUGUUCUAGUGCUACAAUCCAUGUAUUAACCUAUAGCAUUUUGAAUUGAAGUAAUGCAACUCUUUCCUAGUUCUAUUGUUCUCAAAAUCUAUCAAAAGGGGUUUAUUUACUUACUUGAUGGAUGAAUUUACUGGUUCUUUUAGUAAAUGUAGGCAGUGUCAAGGGCCAGGAUGUAGACCUUUUUGGCUGUUGCUUAUAUAAUAAUUAAUGGAUUAUAUUUUGUUGUCA